rnacentral:siRNA from 1 species
UUUAGGCUCUGGUCCGAAAGGGCGU